UUGCUUGUUUUGGUAACAAGGAAAGAAAAUGAAAAGAGAAACACGUAAAUGUGUCAAAUGUGACAAGUUAAGAGACUAUUUAAAACCUUUAAACCUUGUUUAGCCCUUUUAAUUUCUUUCUUUUUUAUAUUGGCUGGCAGGAGAUAUGGGCAAAAGCAUUCUAGUGGUGUUCUUUUACUCUCGAAUAGUUAAUUGUAAGCCUUAUAAAAAUUGAGAAACUCGAAAUUCAAUAAGCAUUGUACUAACAUCACUCUAUCAUAUUUCCUCUUGAUUACUUUGCAUGUAUUUGUUAACUAUAGCUGAGACAGGGUAAUUAAACUGGAGGAACAUGUUACAGCGAAUAUAUGCACGAGUCUCUGAAGAUAUUGUCAGAAAGGCACCUAUAUAUGCUUUUUUGAUGUGUGAUUUUCCUACCAGGUGUUGAAAAUAACUGAAUGUGUUCCAUAAUUGAUUUCAUAUAUAAUCUAAUCUGAUACUGAGUUCAUACAGGUCCGAGAUAUUUGAUGCAUUGUUGCCGAAGCUUUGAUCUGGGGCAUUCAUCAAGGUCAAGUUUUGUACCAUCUCCAAUGUCCAACCUGCAAAAAGCUUCAAUCCAAUGUUGAAAAGCUAACUUUCUGGCCUUAUCAUCCUGAGAUAAGCCCUUUCCAACCUACAGAAAAAUAAGAUUCAGCGAAGAACUUCAGAGUUCAGAAGUACAAGGUCGGAGCAGGGGGGGCCUUAAACUUCAAUUUGUACAUCCUAAUGCUUGCCUUUGAAGCAAUUAAGCUGAUCCUAUUCCACCGAGAGGCAGCUGUUUCAGGUUUUGAGAAAUUGAAGAAGGAUAUGGUGCUAUGGUUGAGGCGAGCAUAAUCUAUGGCAUGCCACCUUCAAACAAUACCAUAGCAGGGACAAUUAAGGUAUCAUUGUUAAAUGGUUCUUGAUGACCAUGAACUACAUUUAUGGGUGAAGAACAGAGUGUCAAUGACCUACCAGAGCUCUUCUGCAACAACAGCUGAAUCUGCUAAUUUACGGCGGGUGCGAUAACUCCUAUACACCUUUUGCAGCUUCACUGCUGCUGUUCUGGAUUCGGAAUCAUCAUUUUCUUUAAGUGAUUCUGAGGUUGACAACGAUUGGCCAUUGAGCUCCAUCCGGUGUUGAAAACAGGAGAAAAAUGGACAUCUAUUAUUAUGUUAUAUAGUACUAGCAUUUGGUUGCAGUAAGUUGGUGGUGUUGUUUAAUGAGUAGUUUGACAAAUCAAAGACUUGAAAGGACAGCUAGUAACUUGGUGAACUGUUAAGCAAAGAUGGACGAAGAAAGGACAGUGAGAAUGGAGAAUUAGAGCGAGCGUCUUUUAGGCUUUAGCCUCUGCAAAGACAGUCCACUCUCAAAUUGCAGGGCUUCAUUUCUGAUUUAAGGUUUCUUGUUUCCCUUAGUUUCAAUCUACUGCCGAGUGCUUCUGCAGAAGUACUGGAUGCCUGUUCUACGGUUAUACGCUCUCAACAUUCAAUUAGUGUUAUCAAUCAAGCCAGCAAGUGAUCUCAUUUUACUGCA